CCCUUAGAUGUCCUGGGCUGCACGCGCGCUACACUGAUGUGUCCAGUAAGCACCUAACCUCUUCCGAAAGGAACGGGUAACCUUUGCAAAGCACAUCGUGAUGGGGAUAGAUUAUUGCAAUUAUUAGUCUUGAACGAGGAAUUCCUAGUAAGCACAAGUCAUCAGCUUGUGUUGAUUACGUCCCUGCCCUUUGUACACACCGCCCGUCGCUCCUACCGAUUGAAUGUUCCGGUGAGCUCUUCGGACUGCGCUGUCUGCAGUUUCUGCGUUCCGUGCGGAAAGUUGCGCAAACCUUAACAUUUAGAGGAAGGAGAAGUCGUAACA
rnacentral:rRNA from 1 species